GACGAACGCUGGCGGCGUGCUUAACACAUGCAAGUCGAGCGGUAAGGCCCUUUCGGGGGUACACGAGCGGCGAACGGGUGAGUAACACGUGGGUGACCUGCCCUUAGCUCUGGGAUAAGCCUGGGAAACUGGGUCUAAUACCGGAUAUGACUCCAUGACGCAUGUUGUGGGGUGGAAAGCCUUGUGCGGCUAGGGAUGGGCCCGCGGCCUAUCAGCUUGUUGGUGGGGUGAUGGCCACCAAGGCGACGACGGGUAGCCGGCCUGAGAGGGCGACCGGCCACACUGGGGACC
rnacentral:rRNA from 1 species